rnacentral:tRNA from 1 species
AUACUCUAAUUAUAAGCUAUUUGAAU